AUUGGCAGUUACAGGCUGCCCAACAUGGACGCUGGGAACCAAACUCCGGUCAGCCAUGGGCCAGCUAGCUUGGAGUAUGCUGUCUAACAGCAGAGACAUGCUGGAACUUGCUACGCUCCAUCUGGACGAUGCAUCUCUAGAGAGCCGGGUCACACAUGGGCAGCUUUCACAGCACUGGGGUGAGGAGAAGAGGAAGAGAGGAGAGACACCAUGGAGUAGCUUCCAUCGCACUCCAUCAUGGAAGACGUCUGGGUGGGAAUCUGGAAGCAGGAACUGAGGCAGAGGCCUCUGAAGCAUGCUCCUUCCGGAGAUACUUGCUGAAGAGUUUAAGAGAGAAAUGUCGCAUUGCCUACAAUUCACGUUACCAUGGUUCAGGAAAGAAAAUCAAGAGCGGGAGGAAAUAUAAGCUCUACUACAAAGUGUCUCAUCUGCAGCUGACACCGCUGUGAAUACAACAUAACUGAAUGGCAACAAUCCAGCGUGGUGGGCGUCAUCCGAGGCCGACAAGAUCACGCGUUUUCCUUCGCUUUCUCCUUUGUGAGGUUUGCUCAUGACCCCAUCCACUUCCCAUUCCUCCGCUUUACGUGCUGUUUGACUUAUGUUUGUGAAGACUUUAAAAUUUGUGCCCAUUUUAAAUAAAGGUAAAAUGGAAAACAAAGCUGAACUUCACCCAAUUAUGAGACCCCAAAAGAGGAAACGUGAGUUGGGGGCCGGGGGAGGGGGAAGGUGUUUCUAAAACUCUAAAGUCAGUGAGCUCAGGAUACAGCUCGGUGGUAGAACAGGGUCCUGUGUUCAGUCACUAGACCACCCAACAGCAAAUAGAAAAGGACAAAGAGGUAGCACCAGAUGUUUACAUGGCCUCAUGACCAUGAUGUGUCGGUAAAGCACGAAAUAGUAAUGCCAA